UACGUAGGGUGCGAGCGUUGUCCGGAAUUAUUGGGCGUAAAGGGCUCGUAGGCGGUUUGUUGCGUCGGGAGUGAAAACGCCGUGCUUAACACGGCGCUUGCUUUCGAUACGGGCAGACUAGAGGUAUUCAGGGGAGAGCGGAAUUCCUGGUGUAGCGGUGAAAUGCGCAGAUAUCAGGAGGAACACCGGUGGCGAAGGCGGUUCUCUGGGAAUGACCUGACGCUGAGGAGCGAAAGUGUGGGGAGCGAACAGG
rnacentral:rRNA from 1 species